GAAAGAAAUGUCGGCAAGCGCCUCGGAGAUGGGUACUGCAGCGAAAUGCUAUGGACCUAAACUGCAUCCAGUUGGGGCGGAAAUAUUUUUAACAUUGGAAAGAAAUGUCGGCAAGCGCCUCGGAGAUGGGUACUGCAGCGAAAUGCUAUGGACCUAAACUGCAUCCAGUUGGGGCGGAAAUAUUUUGAACAUUGGAAAGAAAUGUCGGCAAGCGC